rnacentral:rRNA from 1 species
GACGAACGCUGGCGGCGUGCUUAACACAUGCAAGCCGAGCGGUAAGGCCCUUUCGGGGGUACACGAGCGGCGAACGGGCGAGUAACACGUGGGUGACCUGCCCUUAGCUCUGGGAUAAGCCUGGGAAACUGGGUCUAAUACCGGAUAUGACUCCAUGACGCAUGUUGUGGGGUGGAAAGCCUUGUGCGGCUAGGGAUGGGCCUGCGGCCUAUCAGCUUGUUGGUGGGGUGAUGGCCUACCAAGGCGACGACGGGUAGCCGGCCUGAGAGGGCGACCGGCCACACUGGGACUGAGACACGGCCCAGACUCCUACGGGAGGCAGCAGUGGGGAAUCUUGCGCAAUGGGCGAAAGCCUGACGCAGCGACGCCGCGUGGGGAUGACGGCCUCGG